rnacentral:rRNA from 1 species
GAUGAACGCUGGCGGCGUGCCUAAUACAUGCAAGUCGAGCGAACAGACGAGGAGCUUGCUCCUCUGACGUUAGCGGCGGACGGGUGAGUAACACGUGGAUAACCUACCUAUAAGACUGGGAUAACUUCGGGAAACCGGAGCUAAUACCGGAUAAUAUAUUGAACCGCAUGGUUCAAUAGUGAAAGACGGUUUUGCUGUCACUUAUAGAUGGAUCCGCGCCGCAUUAGCUAGUUGGUAAGGUAACGGCUUACCAAGGCAACGAUGCGUAGCCGACCUGAGAGGGUGGUCGGCCACACUGGAACUGAGACGAGGUCCAGACUCCUACGGGAGGCAGCAGUAGGGAAUCAUCCGCAAUGGGCGGAAGCCUGACGAAGCAGCGACGCGGGAGUGAUGAUGGUCUCCGGCUCGUAAAACUCUGUUAUUAGGGAAGAACAAAUGUGUAAGUGACUAUGCACGUCUUGACGGUACCUAGUCAGAAAGCCACGGCUAACUACGUG